rnacentral:rRNA from 1 species
GAUGAACGCUGGCGGCGUGCCUAACACAUGCAAGUCGAGCGAUCUUCUUCGGAAGAGAGCGGCGGACGGGUGAGUAACGCGUGGGUAACCUGCCCUGUACACACGGAUAACAUACCGAAAGGUAUGCUAAUACGAGAUAAUAUACUUUUAUCGCAUGGUAGAAGUAUCAAAGCUUUUGCGGUACAGGAUGGACCCGCGUCUGAUUAGCUAGUUGGUAAGGUAACGGCUUACCAAGGCGACGAUCAGUAGCCGACAUGAGAGGGUGAUCGGCCACAUUGGAACUGAGACACGGUCCAAAAUCCUACGGGAGGCAGCAGUGGGGAAUAUUGCACAAUGGGCGAAAGCCUGAUGCAGCAACGCCGCGUGAGCGAUGAAGGCCUUCGGGUCGUAAAGCUCUGUCAUCAAGGAAGAUAAUGACGGUACUUGAGGAGGAAGCCCCGGCUAACUACGUGCCAGCCGCCGCGGUAA